rnacentral:rRNA from 1 species
ACUGGCGGCGUGCUUACACAUGCAGUUGCCCGAUGAACCAAGAAGCUUGCUCUUGUUUCCUAGUGGCGAAAAGGUGAGUAACACGUGAGUAACCUGCCCUUGACUCUGGGAUUUCCCCCGGAAACGGAAGCUAAUACCGGAUAUGACGUACGGAGGCAUCUCCUGUACGUGGAAAGAACUUCGGUCAAGGAUGGACUCGCGGCCUAUCAGGUAGUUGGUGAGGUAACGGCCCACCAAGCCUACGACGGGUAGCCGGCCUGAGAGGGUGACCGGCCACACUGGGACUGAGACACGGCCCAGACUCCUACGGGAGGCAGCAGUGGGGAAUAUUGCACAAUGGGCGCAAGCCUGAUGCAGCAACGCCGCGUGAGGGACGACGGCCUUCGGGUUGUAAACCUCUUUUAGUAGGGAAGAAGCGAAAGUGACGGUACCUGCAGAAAAAGCACCGGCUAACUACGUGCCAGCAGCCGCGGUAAUACGUAGGGUGCAAGCGUUGUCCGGAAUUAUUGGGCGUAAAGAGCUCGUAGGCGGUUUGUCGCGUCUGCUGUGAAAACCCGAGGCUCAACCUCGGGCCUGCAGUGGGUACGGGCAGACUAGAGUGCGGUAGGGGAGAAUGGAAUUCCUGGUGUAGCGGUGGAAUGCGCAGAUAUCAGGAGGAACACCGAUGGCGGAAGCAGUUCUCUGGGCCGUAACUGACGCUGAAGAACGAAAGCGUGGGGAGCGAAAAGGAUUAGAUACCCUGGUAGUCCACGCCGUAAACGUUGGGCGCUAGAUGUGGGGAC